UGCCCCACCACCGCCACGCCCGCCUUCAAAAUUGAGUUCGAGCUGAACAUCGCCGUCAUCUUCGAGGACGACCACGUGGUCACAGAGAACUUCCCCAUACUGCUGGUGCGCGCCAGCUAGCCCGCCGCGAAUUUCUAUUACAUCUUGUAAAUACUUCAUCAUUUAAUGUAUAAAUUAUAUAUAAUUGUUAUAU